UCAGUCUUCCUUAUCCACUGGGAAUCCUUUCCUCUUCCUGGGUUGGAGGCUUCUCUCAAAGACUAUCCAUCUUUGUGUCCACUUCCUUUGUACAAGCAGGAAAAGACAAGAAUGCUAUGUGCAACAUCCUGUUUAUUCAGUCAAUCAACUGAACAGUGAAACCUGCCUAAGUAAAAGAAAAUAAUUCUGGAGCUCAUCAUGUAAUAACAAUUUGAUUACUUUUGGCUUUAAAAAAAUUUAGAUGGC